rnacentral:rRNA from 1 species
CAGCCGCGUAAUUCCAGCUCCAAUAGCGUAUAUUAAAGUUGUUGCAGUUAAAAAGCUCGUAGUUGAACUUCGGGGUCUACCCAUUGGUCAGGCUUAAUUGUCUGCACUGGUGAGAUGGAUCUCUACCUUCUGAGGAACUUUCAUGCCAUUUAUUUGGUGUGAUGGGAAAUCAGGACUGUUACUUUGAAAAAAUUAGAGUGUUUAAAGCAGACUAUCGUCUGAAUACAUUAGCAUGGAAUAAUGAAAUAGGACGGACUGAUUCUAUUUCGUUGGUUUCUAGGAUCACCGUAAUGAUUAAUAGGGAUAGUUGGGGGCAUUAGUAUUCAAUUGUCAGAGGUGAAAUUCUUGGAUUUAUUGAAGACUAACUACUGCGAAAGCAUUUGCCAAGGAUGUUUUCAUUAAUCAAGAACGAAAGUUAGGGGAUCGAAGACGAUCAGAUACCGUCGUAGUCUUAACCAUAAACUAUGCCGACUAGGGAUCGGACGAAGUUAAUUUUAUAAUGACGCGUUCGGCACCUUACG